rnacentral:sRNA from 18 species
CGUUGUCGGCCAUCUACUCCUCCCAGAUGCGAUGCCGAUGCUGGAUGCGGUACACCUCCUCCCGCGCCUUGUCCAUAGAUCGAGCCCGCUGCGACCUCCUCCCGGCAGCGGGGGGCUUUUU